rnacentral:lncRNA from 1 species
CGGUCUGCUGGGAUAUAUACAUACAGUUUUAUUAUACUAGCAUCGGUCUGCUGGGGUAUAUACAUACAGUUUUAUUAUACUAGCAUCGGUCUGUUGGGAUAUAUACAUACAGUUUUAUUAUACUAGCAUCGGUCUGCUGGGAUAUAUACAUACAGUUUUAUUAUACUAGCAUCGGUCUGCUGGGAUAUAUACAUACAGUUUUAUUAUACUAGCAUGGGUCUGCUGGGAUAUAUACAUACAAUUUUAUUAUACUAGCAUCGGUCUGCUGGGAUAUAU